ACAUAUGGAAUUCCGCAACGAGCGCAACCCUGAUCUAGCCAUGCCGCGUGAGUGAUGAAGGCCUUAGGGUUGUAAAGCUCUUUCAGCUGGGAAGAUAAUGACGGUAUCCGGAGAAGAAGCCCCGGCUAACUUCGUGCCAGCAGCCGCGGUAAUACGAAGGGGGCUAGCGUUGUUCGGAAUUACUGGGCGUAAAGCGCACGUAGGCGGACAUUUAAGUCAGGGGUGAAAUCCCGGGGCUCAACCCCGGAACUGCCUUUGAUACUGGGUGUCUUGAGUGUGGAAGAGGUCAGUGGAAUUGCGAGUGUAGAGGUGAAAUUCGUAGAUAUUCGCAGGAACACCAGUGGCGAAGGCGGCUGACUGGUCCAUUACUGACGCUGAGGUGCGA
rnacentral:rRNA from 1 species